AACCACACCGAAGAAGAAGACGCAUUUCCGCCAGAAGCACGACUCGACGCUGAUACGACGCUCACGAACAUUUUCUGCCGCAUCUCAUCACCAGACCAAACGCACUCGGGAAGUGGAUGAAUGUUUCCGCUUGCUCUACGAGACCUCGCCAUUUCAUUCAAGUUCUUCUCGGCUAAAUAAUUCGCUACAGGAAAUCAGUUCAAGAUCUACCCAACUUACCAUGUCUGGUUCUGGAUGGGGUGUUCCAGCCCAGAGAAGCUCACAGCGGGCUCCAGAGUUGCUAUUAGUGAAGCUGGGGGACUGCAAUCAAACAGUGGAAUUCAAUGUGAUUGUCAAGGAGGAGGAGGAGGAGAGAGAAAUCAAUGAGGGGGAGGAGGAAGAGCGAGAGGAGGACAGGGCCUCUGUUGACUCGGGAGAGAUCCCCAACCCAGACUCAGUCAACAAGCCCAGUUCCACAGCAUCAAUACUGCCUGGUUGUGGGAGUUACCCCUGUCCUCAAUGUGGAAAGUGUUUCAGUUCCUCAACUCAUCUAAAGAAUCAUCAAAGAGUACACACUGGAGAGAGACCUUUUGACUGCUCGGCAUGUGGGAAGAGUUUCAGUGAGAAAGUAAACCUUAAGAGACAUGAGAGAGUACAUAGUGGAGAGAAGCCUUACCACGGCACCACGUGUCGGAAGAGCUUCAAUCACUCAGGAAGCCUUAAGGAACACCAGCGACUACAUACAUGGGAGAAACCUUACCACUGCUCUCUUUGUGGGAAGUGUUUCAAUCGAGUAGGAGACCUGAAAACUCAUAAGAAAUCACACAGUGGAAAGAAGCCUACCUGUACUUUCAAUGUGAUUGUCAAAGAGGAGGAGGAGGAGGAUGAGGAGAAGGAAAUCGAUAAGGAAAAGAGGGAAGAGCAGGAACCUAGUGGUGUAGUUGACCCAGAUACAUCAAGAUUAUCUGGUUGUGGUCA